rnacentral:rRNA from 1 species
GAGUUUGAUCGUGGCUCAGGACGAACGCUGGCGGCGUGCCUAAUACAUGCAAGUCGAGCGGAUCUUCAUUAGCUUGCUUUUGAAGAUCAGCGGCGGACGGGUGAGUAACACGUGGGCAACCUGCCUGUAAGACUGGGAUAACUUCGGGAAACCGGAGCUAAUACCGGAUAAUCCUUUUCCUCUCAUGAGGAAAAGCUGAAAGACGGUUUCGGCUGUCACUUACAGAUGGGCCCGCGGCGCAUUAGCUAGUUGGUGAGGUAACGGCUCACCAAGGCGACGAUGCGUAGCCGACCUGAGAGGGUGAUCGGCCACACUGGGACUGAGACACGGCCCAGACUCCUACGGGAGGCAGCAGUAGGGAAUCUUCCGCAAAUGGACGAAAGUCUGACGGAGCAAACGCCGCGUGAGCGAUG